GAUGGACGCUAGCUACAGGCUUAACACAUGCAAGUCGAGGGGUAGCAGGGUAGCAAUACCGCUGACGACCGGCGCACGGGUGAGUAACACGUAUCCAACCUUCCCAUAACUCGGGGAUAGCCUUUCGAAAGAAAGAUUAAUACCCGAUAGUACUUUAUUAAGGCAUCUUAAGAAAGUUAAAGAUUUAUUGGUUAUGGUUGGGGAUGCGUUCCAUUAGAUAGUUGGUGAGGUAACGGCUCACCAAGUCCUCGAUGGAUAGGGGUUCUGAGAGGAAGGUCCCCCACAUUGGUACUGAGACACGGACCAAACUCCUACGGGAGGCAGCAGUGAGGAAUAUUGGUCAAUGGGCGAGAGCCUGAACCAGCCAAGUAGCGUGAAGGAUGAAGGUCCUAUGGAUUGUAAACUUCUUUUAUAGUAGAAUAAAGUGAACCACGUGUGGUUUUUUGUAUGUAUACUAUGAAUAAGGAUCGGCUAACUCCGUGCCAGCCGCCGCAGUAA
rnacentral:rRNA from 1 species